UAUGGUGAUGUUUCGGAUUAUUUUUUUAUCUGUUUUCAAUUGUUGGAAUUUUGUUUCCUGCAGUACAGGUGUCCCCAGUACAAAUAGAGGGCAUAGUUGGUUUGUGUGCAGUUGAAAUAAUCAUAUUAUGUUCUUAUAUUCCAACUAAAUUCUCUUGUUUGUGAAAAGCUAGGUCCUAAACAUGAUUAAUGUUGGUUUUGCAGGGCUAGGAGCUGGGACUUUUUUUCUUUUUUAUUUUCUUUUUUGGUUUGUUCUUGAUCAUGUAGGAUAAAUAAGGAUCAUUGCUUACUAUUGUUUGUGUUUCAUAAUAAUGAACUUAUACAAUGUUCUGAAUUUCGUCAAUCUCUUGCUGUUUUGUUUCAGGGACCAGAGAACUCUUCUUAUUGGUGAACUUUCAAAAGGGAAGACCUAGCAGUGCACUUUGCACUGUAUAUGAAUUGAGCUGAUGACAGAUGGCUAGAUGAUCGGUUUUUGAUGAUUAACUGGUUGGAAAUUCCAUGAAUGCUGCAGCCUAUUCAGCCAGAUGAUGAUAGCUUCAUGCAUAAUCCACAUCAAAUCGGCCUAUCCAUGCAUAUACUUUGGUUUGUAGACCUUGGGACCAGAGAACUCUUCUUAUUGGUGAACUUAGCAGUGUUGCUGAUGUUUCACUUUGCACUGCAUAUUAAUUGAGCUGAUGACAGAUGUCUAGAUGAUCGGUUCUUGAUGAUGAACUGGUUGGGAAUUCCAGGAAUUGUGAUAAUAUACUAGUAUCGCAUUAUAUAUGUGUUAUACAAUGUCCCCAAGAUAGAAUUUUCAAGAUUCUAUGUAAUAAACAGUUCACUCUUUUCUAUAUAUGUCAUGGAUCAUCUCUUUUAUUUAUAUAUUUCUGAAACAAUUGCACUG